AUGGUUGGAAGCAGUCCCAUGCAGGCGGUGCUGGUGGCGCCGGGGGUGAAGGACAAGCAAGUACUCCCUUACAAGCGGGACGCGCUCAUGGAGAAGCACGCCGCCGUCAGCCUCAUGCGCUCCAUCGCCGGCUCGGGCGUGCGCAGCGCCUUCUACGUCCUCGACCUCGCCAGGGUCGUCGACCUGUACAUGCGCUGGCGCCGCGCACUCCCGGACGUGCGGGCGUACUACGCCGUCAAGUGCAAUCCGGAGCCGGCGCUGCUCGGCGCGCUGGCCGCCCUCGGCGCCGGGUUCGACUGCGCCAGCCGCAGGGAGAUCGAGGCCGUGCUCGCACUCGGCGUGGAGCAGGGCAGCAUCGUGUACGCCAACCCGUGCAAGCCCGAGGAGCACAUCGAGUACGCGGCGCAGGUGGGCGUCAACCUCACCACGUACGACUCCGAGGAGGAGGUGGCCAAGGUGAAGCGCUGCCAUCCCGGCUGCGAGCUCAUCCUCCGCAUCAAGGGCCCCGACAACGGCGACGCCAAGCCGGGACGGUACUUUGCUGAGACGGCCUUCACGCUGGCGGCGCGGGUCAUCGGCAAGCGCACGCGCGGCGAGGUGCGGGAGUACUGGAUCGACGAUGGACUCUACGGCUCCCUCAACUGCGUCCUCAUGGACGACUACGUGCCGCGCCCAAGACCGCUCGCCGCCCCAAGCACCGGCGAGGAGACGUACACUUCAACGGUGUUCGGACCGACGGGCGACUCACUUGACACCGUCGUGACAGGGUACCGGCUACCGGAGAUGAGCGUGGGGGACUGGCUCGUGUUCGACGACAUGGGCGCCUACUCGAUCGGCUCCGGCUCUCAUUUCAACGGCUUCUCCAUGUCCGACCUUACAAUAUUCUUAGCCUACUCUAGCUAG
rnacentral:rRNA from 1 species